CAGCAGCCGCGGGAAUACGAAGGGUGCAAGCGUUAAUCGGAAUUACUGGGCGUAAAGCGUGCGUAGGCGGUGAGUUAAGUCUGCUGUGAAAUCCCCGGGCUCAACCUGGGAAUGGCAGUGGAUACUGGCUCGCUAGAGUGUGUCAGAGGAUGGUGGAAUUCCCGGUGUAGCGGUGAAAUGCGUGGAGAUCGGAAGGAACAUCUGUGGCGAAGGCGACUAUCUGGGCCAACACUGACACUGAGGCACGAAAGCGUGGGGAGCAAACAGGAUUAGAUACCCCCGUAGUCCCUGUCUCUUAUAC
rnacentral:rRNA from 1 species